rnacentral:tRNA from 1 species
CGGGACGUGGCGCAGUUUGGUAGCGCACUUGACUGGGGGUCAAGGGGUCGUCGGUUCAAAUCCGGCCGUCCCGACAA